GGCUGAUCGUAAUCGGAAGAGGACUGUCAGAAGGACGUAGAAGGCACAGUUUUACUGUGAGGAGCAAAGAUUCUUUACCUACGCAUUUUACAAGAAAUGUGCAGAAAGCCAUUGAUAAAUACACCUGCGAAUCCUUGUCAUCCUUUUCCUCCAGCGGAAGCCAUACACCCACGGGAGCCCACACCUCUUGGUCUGGGUCGGCCACACAGAGCUCUACCACCGGCUCAUCCACGGAGAGGGGCUCCAUUUAUUCCUGGAGAGAUGACGAAUUUGACGAAGCCAGUUCACAGUCAGUGCAGCGGUUACUCUGGGAGGUGGAGGAAAUGUUAUUUGAAGGGAAAGUGAACCCUCAGACCCAGAGUCUGCUGGCCGAAUGCGGGGAGUGGACAAGAAGAUCCCUCCAUUUGAGAGUAUUAGGAAGACAGCUGAUCCUGCCCACUGACGAAGGCGUCCAGCAUUUCCAGGGCAGCACUCCUGCCUCCGCAGUCCACAGACCCCCGCUCAGUGCCUGCGGACACAGCAGCAACAUCAGAGAGUAUGUUCAGAUAAGUGACUCUCAAAAAGUAUUGUUAGCUGUAUUUUAGUUAUACUUUUUC
rnacentral:lncRNA from 1 species